rnacentral:rRNA from 1 species
GACGAACGCUGGCGGCGUGCCUAAUACAUGCAAGUUGAGCGCUGAAGGUUGGUACUUGUACCAACUGGAUGAGCAGCGAACGGGUGAGUAACGCGUGGGGAAUCUGCCUUUGAGCGGGGGACAACAUUUGGAAACGAAUGCUAAUACCGCAUAAAAACUUUAAACACAAGUUUUAAGUUUGAAAGAUGCAAUUCCAACACUCAAAGAUGAUCCCGCGUUGUAUUAGCUAGUUGGUGAGGUAAAGGCUCACCAAGGCGAUGAUACAUAGCCGACCUGAGAGGGUGAUCGGCCACAUUGGGACUGAGACACGGCCCAAACUCCUACGGGAGGCAGCAGUAGGGAAUCUUCGGCAAUGGACGAAAGUCUGACCGAGCAACGCCGCGUGAGUGAAGAAGGUUUUCGGAUCGUAAAACUCUGUUGGUAGAGAAGAACGUUGGUGAGAGUGGAAAGCUCAUCAAGUGACGGUAACUACCCAGAAAGGGACGGCUAACUACGU